UGCUGCCCCCGACCUCCCGCAGCGCCGAGGAGGAGGAGGGCGGCGGGGGAAGGAUGAAGCUGCAACAGCCGGGACUCCGGCUCGGCAUCGCUCCUUUCCGCUCCUCCGCCACCCAAGAGUCAGGCCCAGCAGCAGCGAUCCUGCGGCAGCCUCCCGGGGAAGGGAUGGGAUGGCGGGGGGGGCCGGUGGCCCCCUCAGCGAGGGCCAGGGAUGCUCGCCAUGAGCCUGGUGACCGUGCCCUCUCCAGCCGCCAGCCUCGGCAGCCGUCGUACACGUGUGCUCUCCGAAAAUCCUGAUUUAAGCCAAAUGUUUCAACUUUCCCUACAACUGCACACAAUUUUGAGGCUGUCGGAUAGUUGUAAGAAUCCAAGUGUGCCUGGCUGCGAAUUACCCCGGCUGUCUCUUCUGGAAGCCAAAUCGUUAAAUAUCCGUCAUGUUACAAUAGGAACAAAUAUUCUCAUGAGCUGUCACACCAGAUAAAGUAAAGCAGCACUGACGAAGAGAUACCUUCCCAGUGUUGUCCCUCCUAUCACCAUUACUGUCUCUUUCACGCUGUCAGCUGGCAGCCCAUCACCUGAGUGCUGAUUUUGGCCACAGUCCAUGUUUUUCCUUCAGAUUAACACAACACCUGGAGUCGCAAGGAUGGCAGAAACUCUGUUGUGCUUGUCUAGGACUAACUGAACUGCCACAGCCCCCCAGCAUGGGGCGACCCUGGAACAGCGACCCUUCAGUCCACCUCAGAGACCUCCUUGGUUCCAAUUUAGGACUUGCAUCGUAUGGUUUUCAUUAGCUGCCCAUGGGUAAUCAUUUAUGGUCUCUUAUUCUCACCUCUAUUCGUGCAGAAUGGAGAAGGCUUUUAAAAUUCUAAGCAGGCUUAGGCAUGUCCUUUCCUCAAGGGAAACUAAGAAGGGAAGUAGUAAUAGAUGCUUAGAAUUGGAAACGGGGCAUAGGAAAAGUAGCUCUUACCCACUUGUGUCAUUCCUGCUUCUGAAAAUCAGUAGUUUAUGGACUUCCUAACUUCUGAACCAGACAUUGCAUCUAGACAAGCAAGUAUCAGAGACUUUGUUAAGCCUAGCUCCCUUGAAGUUGCCUGUUUUCAUUUUGAACAUAUUUAUUUAUAUUUUGGGGUUUUAGAACAUCCUGUGGCAACGAGUUCAUAUGAAAAUUUAUUUCCGUCUGUUCUUUUUUAAACCCUGCUCCUAGAUAAACUGAUUGAAUUAAUAUGCUGUUAUGAGCAGUGAUAAUAACCAUUUUCUAUUCACUUUCCUCCCACCUUCAUUAUUUUCCAGUCCUCUAUGUAUCCCUUUCCUGCUGCGGUACAGAAUGCAAGCCCCAGUCUGGCUCCUGUUUAUACUAGGAUUUUUGAAUGAUAUGAAGACUUUUCAGAGUUAAGCUAUUAGCAGUGACAACAGUCUUCUCUUAACUCCAACCUUGCCUCUCUGCAUAAGAACUGUUGGAUAAAUAAGAAUGUAAUGCAAACUCGGAAAAGAUGCAUAAUUAUUUCCACACAGGAAGUCUGCAGUUGAUAGUUCGGUGUCACAGAUAGAAAUGACUCGUCUAACGUGCUGUGAACUAAGUCAGAGCCAAAGCAAUUAUCUAAUGCCUGUGAACCCUCCGGGUCAGCUAUACUCUCUGCUACCAUGUGUAAUGCCAGAAAAGUUCGCUGACAAACACCAGCCAUCAAAAGCACUUCUUCCUCCCAAACUCCAUGUCAUUAGUUUCCAAAGUGGCCUGCGGUUAUAUCCUGCUCACCUUCAAAUUCUCUCAAAAAUAGACCAGGGGUUCUGGGCACUACUGGUUCAACAAGCCUGGUUUAAGGAUUACUGAAAACAUGGCAUGGCUCCAUUUGUCAGUACCCUGAUAUGAUCCUUAACACAAACCAGGUGAAGGUAAAUGUAAAAUAGCGUAUUUGCAAAACUCCAAACAUAAGCAACACAUUUGCAUUGUUUAUCCAAAGCAAUACACAGAAAUGAAAAGAAAUAGGGUAUACAGGACAUUUGCAGACCUGGGAGAGCAGCUGGCUGCGCUCUGUAAGAAAACUAGGCACAGGUGCUGGGAUUGAGCCCAGGGCCCUGAUUCCCAGCUGGCAUGCUGAAAGAGGCUUCCCGCUCCGGGAGAGUUAGAUGUUCCUUGGGAGGAGAGGCCUCGGAAAGGGGAGGAGGUUGUUCCCUUGGCACGACAGGAAAGCACUGCUGGCUGAGCCAAAGGGGAAUGGAGUCUUUUUGUUGAUAUCUGUUGGGUGUAUUUCUUUUUUCAGCUGUUGGAUUAGUGACUAAAAAAGAAAAUGAUCGAUAUGUGUCAUAUUGGAAUAAGUAUGGGGUUUGUCACCCUGACGAGCAGUCUUACCUUUAGCUGUUGCUCAGAUUAGUCACAACAAGUUGCCCUCGCUCUGUUCAGCCGAUGAACUGCUAGGUAUUUGCAACCCCCAGCUAAGGCUUCGGUUUGUACACAAAGUUCCCUCUUGAAGCUGCUUUCAGAGGAGAGCACCUGGUUUGGGGGACUUUACUUCCCCUGGCUACUGAUCAAAUCCAAUGGUGAAGCUCUUUUAUGUCAACUUUGUAUUUUCUUACAUAUGCAUAUAACUUGCCAGCCACACUUUAUAUACUCACGUAACCAGUAUGAGAGCAUGUAACAUGUUACUGAGAAAAUAACUAAUCACUUUAAGGUAACAGGACCUUUGGGGGUGAAUGCCUUCUAAGUCUGUCUCUAGGGGAUACUAUAAUAGUAAUAAAAUGAAUAGAGGCCUAAGACAGGCAGGAGAGAGGUUGCUGAUUACAUGGGAAAGUCCAGACAAAGCAUCUUCUGUUUCUGAUGCCCGAAAUUCAGCCGUGUAAGAAAAAGACAGGAUACUGGCAAAGCAGCACUAGGACGUACUUGUGCUGAUGGCUCUGUUAUUUUUCUAUAGUUUCUCAUCAUGUUUUGCCAGGUACUUCUCCUCAAGAUUCUCAUAUACCUACAAAUCAGUACAAGCCAAGUUUGGAAACCCGCUUCACUUGCCUUUGAGGUUGCCAUUUCUUUCUGUAUCACAAGAACAAAGAUAAAAAUGUUAAUUUUUAGCCCUUUCCAACACUUUUAUGAUAUUAUCUGGCAAGCACCAGUGCAUAACUGUGUUUAUUCCUUUACCAGUCUGUGUCUGUGAGUGUCACUGAUAGCGAAGGGACACAGCAUGCAUAUGCAUGUGUAGCAUUGAGGCCCAACAGCUUAGGUCCUGCUGAGGUCAAGGCACAGACAUCCAGACAAACACUGAUUUAGAAAAUUUACAGUAUAGAGGGUGGUUGUAGAAAGGGAAAGCGCACUGACCAUUCCAAAGGAACCAACUCCUUUUUUUAAAUCUCUUAAUCUGCUUUUCAUUAUCUCUGUGGGGAGGCCUCUUGAGAAAAGCAGCUCUUUGACUUGAAUAAAGGAGGGGCUGUGGGUUUGCAUGCUGGAAUGGGGAGGUCAUUGUACAGCAGCAGGGAAGAUGGGAGUGUUAGUCGGGUCAAGGAGAACAGGAUAAAAAAGUGUGAGAUCUGCGUUACAGGCUUGGUCUGGAUUAUGUAAGGUAGAAAGUUUAAAGCUGAAAGGUAAACAAGAGAGAGCGAUUCAAAGGUUGGAAAGACAUAUUCUGGUAGGGUCAUUCAGGCUGAUAGUGAGAAGUAUGGGCCUGGACUGAUAAGAUCAUCAGCAAAAACAGCAAGAAAAAGGUAACAACAGCUGAGGCCCAAGAGGACUAAAUUCUGCACAGGAAUUUUAAGCAUCAGGCUUCAGCAAAUCGACCUGUCCAUCUUCAAUAUCUAUCUUAUUUGUUCUUUUAACAGAAAUGCUUAGUUCUGCUUCCCUCCUUGGAGGCAGACAAAGCCCGAAUACGCCUGGGGGACAAUGGGACUACGUAGCAUUUUGCCUGCUACCAAGUCAUACAGCUGUGUGCAUGUGCUGGCUGUAACCCUCUCCCCUCUAAACCAGUGCUUAUCACAAGCAGCCUCAGCCUUGCCAAACUGCUAAAGAAAGUUGUGUUAUUGCCACUAAAAUGGCCCUUGGAAGGAGCCCAUUUUUCUCCUUUUUAGAAUAAAAAGGUAAAAAUUCUCCUAUAAUGGUAUGCUGACCUUCUGCUGUUUCUUUAAUGGAUGCAAACUGAAAGAUACCUGGUUUGCAGGGACCUGCUGUUUUUCCAGCACUCCUGUAACACUGGUGGACUUCACCAGGAAUUUGGAGAUACAGAAGGAGUGCAGGAUCAGGUCUACAAAAUCCGGGAUGCGGUGGGGGAGGGCUUCCCUGAUCGCGUGCUUUUCUUGUCUUCCUUCUUGAUGGGUUUAUAAAAGCAGAGGUGGCAGAUUUGGGGCUUUUAUUGACAGUAACACAACAUUUGGUGUUUUCUUAAAGACCUAACUCUGAGAGGCAGAUGAUGGCAAAAGACUGUCGGCUUUGUGUUUCUAAUUGCAGACGGGAAUUUGCAAACCUUACAGACUUGAAAAAACCUGGAGGCAAAGAAUAACUCUAAAUACAUAUUUUUAAAUCCUGUCAUUCGUAAAAUCAAUUUGGCAGAUUUGGAGGUUAUCUUAAAUACAGCACUGGUAUUUUGUAGCAAAAUCUCAGACCUUCUCAUAUCAGCUGGAACUAGCAGGUGCAUUUUUAACACUAGACACUCCUUUUGUCCUUUUUUUUUUUUUUCCUUUGUAUUUCUCAAGGUCUAAAUCAAUUUACUCAUUAUAGCUACGUUUUUCCCCUUUUUGCUAGUGUGUAGCCUGAACACUGCCUGCCCUCCCUCCUCUGCUUGAUCCUCCUUGGCCAGAACCUUCUAGCUCUUUCCCCAUGUCCUCCUCCAGUCCUGUAGCCAGCCAGCAGCGCCCCAAAACACUGCUUUGUGCCAUGAUUAUGCAUCUUUUCCGCUUGUUUGUUUCACAUAAGCUCCAUCUGCUGGUUAAGACUAGAAUCUGUAUGACUUCCACUAUCAACGGCAAAUGCUGCUUUUUCCUCAGUCUGAAAAGAUUUGCAAAAUUAUCUGUUUGCACUCUCCCAGCUGUGUUCUCCUUGUCUGCCUGCAUGUCAGAUUUAAUUAAUGACCACUCUAAUACGUUAUUUUGUAUUGCUAAUUUGGGUGAAGCCUACGCAAUCUUUUAAAAUACGGCUUUUUGACUAGAAUUUGAGCAGGUAAUUACCCUUCGAUGUGGAAUGACUGUUUACAGCGCGUUAUUACUGUCAUGGAAAUCUCCCGAGUGGCUUUUCACUUCAUUGUUGGAAAAAGGCACCCAAGGCAGGUUGUUCCCACGCUGCUGCUCAUGUGUAGCCACUGCCACUUGGUUUUGGCACAUUACAGACUGGGGUGAACUUGUGACCUGGACGAACAUAUAGAGCAAGCCUGUAAUCCAGCGACCACUUGAAUUUUUACCUUUGGGCUCUAACAUUUACAGAGCGACAGGCUUCCAUAUCCCGGGAGCCUCUCCCAGAAACCCGUGAUGAUGAUUGGGAGUAUUUUUUAAAGAACUACUAACAAUCUGUUGGUUUUCCCCCUUUGAGAGGAAACCUAAUGCAACUUACUACACAGUAAUGUCUUUUUUUUUUUUUCCCUCUUCAGAUUUACGCUGAACAGUGGUGAAUAAAGAUGAGGGUAAUCCCAUAUUGUUAAAUCUAUUCAAGGAGACAACCUGGAGAUUGCCAUGGAAACAGGUUCUACAGACUAAAAGCGUAAUCCUACUUUUAAAUACUGUAUAUGAACUGUACCACUACAUGGUUUAUCAGACCGUGUACACAAACAUGAUGUUGCAGCAGAGGAGUGACAAACCUGUCUCCCAUCUCAUCAAGUGCUAAUGAUGCUCCCACCUGCUCCCAAGCAUCAAGCAUCGCACCUCCUUCCCCUCCGCCCGCUGAAUCUCAUCUCCCCAGUCCCUUGCUGUCCCUUCCGCCAGCUCGGCUUGUCGUCUGAGUGUACGGGGGAACUGAGGCCCUGCCUGCAUAACGAACACAGUGGUUCUGGCAGGAGCGUCACAGCUCUGGUAUCGCUACACAGCCCCCUUCACAAGCUGUAGGGCAACGGACCACGUGUCUGAAAUUUUGGGGGGGGGGGUGGUGUCCCAUUGUCCAUCCACCAAAAAAAUCAACAGGAUCUAGGAAGUGCUUCCUGUGACAUGUCCUCAGGGAAGUGGUGACAACCGUGGUGAGCACGGAGGGGUGCCCCCUCCAACUGUGCAGGUAUUUUUGGCAGGCCACCAAGGAAUCCUGUUCCCCAUACGGAUCUGCCUACCACCCCCCUGAGCUCCUGAGGUGGUGAAGAGGGAAGGGACAAUAGCAGAUGAGAAUUUCAUAUAACUAUUUACUAUGGGAAAUCUGUUGCACUGUGAAGUACAGAUUUUCUGAAAGAGAAUACUGCACGUAUAGCUAGUUACCGUACAGUUUUGCUCCCUGUUCAUAUUGACAUUUGCCCCCCAAUUUCCAGAUCUCUAGACUUCCUCAAUGGAAUUAUAGGUUCUUGUCUUUUCAUGUCCUUGCAAGUAACUUUCAUGUCCUUUUUUAGGUCUAUGCAAGUAAUGCACAGACGUAGGCAUAUCCUAUGCUUUUAUAGGUCCUAUGCACAUACCUCUUUUAGACAAGUAAAACAUGCUUGCGUUUUUCAGGUCACCGGGCUGUGCUCAUCUAUCAGUAAAAUACAUGUUUCAAUAUUCCCACAGCCUGUGACAGGCAUCGCAAUUUCCUGUUAUUUGGAGUUUGUUUUGUAAUUGUUUAGAUUACCUUGCUUUUGCUUCUAUUCAACAUGCAGGGGAAAAAUUUUUGAUGUUUAAUACUAAACAAUAAUCUUGUUUCAAUAUUACAUUUAUUUUAAUCGUUCUCAGAUCCGUAUUAAAUCCAUCUAGAAAAAAGGGUUUGUAUUUCUUCCUUCUAGUGUCUCACCCAGUUCCUGCUCGGAAACACAUCAUUUUCAACGAGAUGGCUGACGACUUUUCCAAACAACAUGGUUGCUCUAAGAACCAGGUCUAAAAUGGCUGUAGCAGCUUAAGUUUUUUAAAAAUAAACCCCUAGUAGCUAUGUGUAUGGUGUUUUAUUUUGGGGAUGAGUGUUUUCUUUGUGAACUCACAGGCUGUUGGUUUGGAUAGAGUGAAAGAUGUUUUUCUUUAAAACAAAGGGCCAUGUAUCACCUAUAAACACUAGGCCUUUUCAUGCGAGAGCAAUUUGUACCACUACUUGAAAAUUAUUACUACUUUGUCUUUUCUGAAGUGUUAUUUCACAAUGCUUGGUAAAUGCACAAAAUCAAUUAGUAUUUUGAAACCGUAUCCAUUUACGAAAUUUUCACAGAGUGUAUUAUCAUUCCUUUUCAUAUAUGGUAGAAAACCAUGUAACUCCCAGGUAUAAACAAAUCUGGAACAAAAGACUGUACAAAAACAUAACGGAUUCAGCUCUGAAAAGGCUUAUGCGUGUACAUUGUCUGCUACCCUGAAUACUAAUGAAUUUAAUGAAACUAUUGAAAGUCUGGUUACUUGUCUGCAUAAAUGUAUUGAGACCUCUGUAAUCAUCUGUUUGCUGUCUGAAAUCUCUUGUCAAUAGUUUAAUGACUUCAGAGCAUAUUCUUCUUCUUGUAUAGGCUUCAUAUAAUGUUUCUACAUAAUUAAGCAGCUUUGUUAGAGGAACUGCCAUUAGUUGCCCCAUUUCAUUUGGUUUUGUUAUCAGCCAACCAGAAAGAAAAAAGAAU